rnacentral:rRNA from 1 species
UACGGAGGGUGCAAGCGUUAUCCGGAUUUACUGGGUUUAAAGGGUGUGUAGGCGGGCCAUUAAGUCAGGGGUGAAAUCCCGGAGCUCAACUCCGGAACCGCCUUUGAUACUAUUGGUCUUGAAUGUUGUUGAGGUGGGCGGAACGGGUCAUGUAGCGGUGAAAUGCAUAGAUAUGACCCGGAACACCGAUUGCGAAGGCAGCCCGCUAAGCAACUAUUGACGCUGAGGCACGAAAGCGUGGGGAUCAAACAGG